CCUACGGGGGGCAGCAGUGGGGAAUAUUGCACAAUGGGGGAAACCCUGAUGCAGCGACGCCGCGUGAGUGAAGAAGUAAUUCGUUAUGUAAAGCUCUAUCAGCAGGGAAGAAAAUGACGGUACCUGAGUAAGAAGCCCCGGCUAACUACGUGCCAGCAGCCGCGGUAAUACGUAGGGGGCAAGCGUUAUCCGGAUUUACUGGGUGUAAAGGGAGCGUAGACGGCAGUGCAAGUCUGGAGUGAAAGGCGGGGGCUCAACCCCGGCCGGCCGUUGAAACUGGUUUUCUAGAGUUGGAGAGAAGUAUGCGGAAUUCGUGGUGUAGCGGUGAAAUGCAUAGAUAUCACGAAGAACUCCGAUUGCGAAGGCAGCAUACCGGCUCCAUACUGACGCUGAGGCACGAAAGCGUGGGGAUCGAACAGGAUUAGAUACCCGAGUAGUC
rnacentral:rRNA from 1 species